rnacentral:rRNA from 1 species
UACGUAGGGUGCAAGCGUUAAUCGGAAUUACUGGGCGUAAAGCGUGCGCAGGCGGUUCUAUAAGACAGAUGUGAAAUCCCCGGGCUCAACCCUGGGAACUGCAUUUGUGACUGUAGAGCUGGAGUACGGCAGAGGGGGAUGGAAUUCCGCGUGUAGCAGUGAAAUGCGUAGAUAUGCGGAGGAACACCGAUGGCGAAGGCAAUCCCCUGGGCCUGUACUGACGCUCAUGCACGAAAGCGUGGGGAGCAACAGG